UGAUGAUGUCACGUCACGGGAGCUGUGCAUGAUGGGAGAAUAUCCCUUGCAUGAUGGGAGAAUAUCCCCAUAGGAGCUGGACAGGUCCCGGGACGUGAGUCAUCAGAAAGCAGUCAGACAGAAAACAGCAACUCAACUUCAGAAGCUAAUAACUAUUGAUGAGAAAGACGAGAAGAAGGUCAAGCAAGGCACUGAAGUACCCCUUCAAACAAACAGAGGAUCCGCUGGGUAUAAACAACAUGCAGAAAAAGUUGUCAUUCCAAGGAGAUGUACACAGAAGGUGGUAAAGUUUAUUGGAGCCCAGGAUCCGAGGAAUCCAGCGUGAGCACUUGACAUCUUUACUGAGGCGCACUCUGGAUGAAUACCAAUAAAGGGGAGAACCGCUCUGAUAUCCCCUCACGCAGAGACAGAAGACUUUCUUGGCAAACAAUCGCUGCUUUCCUGCAUAUUAUUAUUAA